rnacentral:lncRNA from 1 species
AUCCCUGUGCCUGUGCCUGCUCCAGGGUGAUGCCCCCAGGUUCGCAGCCUGGCAUGGUGCUGGGUUUGCUGCAGGGCGGUGAGCUCCUCGUCCUGCUGAGCCUCAGGAGCAGGAGGGUGGGGAGAGGUUUCCUCGCCCUUUGGAGCCAGGACCAGCCUUUAAUCGAGCAGGGAGCAGACGCAGGCUUUGCAAACAAACCCCCAGGCUCCCACCACGGGGCAGGAUGGGUGGCAUCUGCCUGGCCUUGGGGACCAUCCGGUGCUCCUGAGCCAAAAGCCAAGCCUGAGAGCCAGAUAUUUGGGGAUAGCAGCAAACCCACCCAGGUGUGAGCUGUGCUUUGGGGCAGGGAGCUCAGAGAUCCAGAAAGGAGAAGGGGGAGAAAAACCCUAACCCAGAGAUGAAAUCCCUCCCGUGGAAGCUGUGAAAUCAGCAGCCACCAGCCCUUGCCACCAGCUUUUUCCUUCCCGUGCGCACUCCGGUUGCGCACAGCAGCUGCUUUUGGAGGGUGCUGAGCUGCUUUUUGCCUGCCCAGACCUGAUGCUUGGAGUUGCAGGGGGAAAAGGUGGAGGGAAUUGGACUUCCACAGCCAACAGGAGCUGAUAGAAACGCUCGGUGCCAGCCUGGAGCCCAGCACCGUGCCAUCUCCCAGCGGUGCGCCGGGGAGGAGAGCUGCUGGGCUUCUUUCCCGGCAGCUGCAGCGUGCGUGGGGCUUCCCAUCCUCUUCCCAUUCUCACCCCGCUGCUGGGUGCUCAAAUAUCCCCGGUCCCGGUCACCUGAGGCUGCUCUGGCUCCUCUCCAAAGUGCCUGAACUCAGCCCUCGGAGAGGGUCCGGGCACCCCCGCCCAGUGCUGCCAAGCUCAGAUGUCAGCUUUGGGGUUUUCCCUGCUCCAUCGGGGCUGCCGGGAAGCUUUGGGGUUGGGAAGCUGCGGGGCCGUGUGGGGGCUUGGAGAAAAGCUGAGUGGCUGUCCCGGGGCCGCGUCCUUGCCUUGGGGUUUGUGGAAUUGCAGGGGGCACCUUCCCAAAGGGGACCUGAAGCUUGGAGAAGAUUCUCCCCAGGGCCCUUUCCUGCGCUGUGCUGCUGCUCCUGCUCCUCGCCGUGCUGGGCCGGGGCAAGAGGUGCAGCAUCGCCAGGAUCCUGCGGCAGUACCGCGCCGUCAUCUUCCACGAGAUCCAGAACCUGAAAAACCUGAGUGGCUCGGCGGAGAGGAGCAGCCGGGCAGGGCUGGCUUGCCGCUCGGACAAGGACCAGAAGAUCCUGCUGGCCAUCUACAACAUCAGCAUGUCCCUGCGGGACGUGGCGGGCGGCACCCUGCGUGGCCCCGAGGAGGUGGCGGUGUGGAAGGUGGCCAGGAACACCGAGUUCGUGCUGAGGGAGAACUGCAGGAGAAUCGGCAAGAGCCCACCCCGCGCCCCGGUGCAGCCCCGCGGGAGGAGGAAGCAGCUGAAGGAGAUCUCCAGGAGGGCGCAGCGGCUGGCGACGUGCUGGGAGAAGCUCUACGCCCUGCACGGCCCCCCCCGGGGCUCCUAGGGGUCCCCUCACCUCCUCCCCGCUCUGCUUUCGUGCCUGACGCCGCCUGGUUUUUGGGACCUGGGGGAAAUUCAACCCCGAAGUCAGCCAAAGAGGUACCAGGGGGUGCCCGGAUUUAAUUCAUCCUCUUGUUUCGAGUGGGACCCCCGGGACUGGCCCCGGUGCACGGGGUGGGUGC